UAUAGUAUGUAUACAAAUUGUAGGCUACAAAAUCUGAAUAUAUCCUAUCUCCAAAGUGUUUGAAUUUGAGAUGGAAAAGGUGGAGAAUGCUGCUGAAACUGCACAAGAAUGCAGCUUGGAGAACAACCUUUGUGGCCAAUUCUACAAACUCUCCACUCCCUAAGAUGCUACCCUCUUGGAGGAAGCUUGCUGGAACCUGGAUCACCUCAAAAAGAAGUCACACACCACUGCCAAAUACACCAAACUGUGAGCUAAUGGUCAGCUGCUACACCAGAAUUUUAAUUAGCCAAAAACCAAUUUGCUAGCAUAAUAUGGAAGCCAAAAAUGAUGAAUUCAAGUGAGAUACAGCUGGAAUAAAAG
rnacentral:lncRNA from 1 species